GAACCACGUAAGGAGGUAGUCUCUUUUGUCUCGUGGAGCUGUGAAUACACGAUGCGUAUACACAAUGGUCCCUGCUAAGGAUACCGCCGUGUACUCUGCCGUGUAGGCAGAAUCUGCAGAUCGAAGCAACGGCGGACCGCACGGCAGAAUGCCUCUCGGAUAUCCUCGUAUAGGCGUCACGGGUAUAGCAAUCGCGUGGCUUACAAGGCAAGCCUAACGAGCGUUUCUAAGAGCCUUCGUCGGAGAGAUGUUUUCUCAAGGUACGGAGAAUUAGCGUACUUAAACCGUUUACGGGCAGAUUACGGCCGACUACCGUGCUCCGUGCCUCGGAAGAUUUCCAAAGCGAAACGUACGUUACGGUCUCUAAUCGGUGGAUUUUUUUUUCUGCAUAGGUGGUGUAGUGUUGCGAAGGAUUUUGAUUUUUUUCUUCUUUUUUAUUUUUUUUUUUUACGAUUGUCGAAUCUUAGACUAUCGUUGCGCGGUGUCUUCAUAUUUGGAAAAUUCCAUUACAGUUCUUGACCUUUUCUUGAAUUAACAUGUGACGUUUGGACUUUUCGACGACUGUUGCGCGACGUUUCGAUCUUUGACACAUUGUCGCGAAUUUUUCGAGAAUAAUUGGAAGACGAAAGUUUGAACGCGUUUCGUCUUACGAACGAUCGCCGGUGAAUUUAUUUAGAACGAUCGCUAAUUGCUAUAUGUCGAUCGUUAAUCCUCUUGUGUAAGAAGAGACGAAAGUCUCCGAUGAACCGGAAGUUUUAUCUCGGAACAAAGGGAAAAUCUAGUUGCGAAAGGUUAAGAAGAGAUCCGUUUGAAGAUUAAAAGCAGUUUCUUCUUCCCAAGAUAAGAAGCAGAGGCGAGCAGAGCUGAUGGCUGCAACGUUAUCACCGUAAUGGACGGCUGUCCCACAAAAGUUUAACAUCAACAGAUACCACCAAGACAAGCAGACUUUCGUUUGUGAUUUGCAAGAAUCACGGUCGCAAAAAUAUGAGCGUACUGACCGCAAACUAGAACCUGAGCACUCCAUUUGCAAAUAUUCCUCGGGUUCUUGGAAGCUUCCAAAGGCUCUUAAAAAGAAACGACCACAGUAGGGCAAGACGCUUUGCAAAGUGCUUGUUCUUCGUCCUGGAUUAAAUCUAAAAAAUUAAAAAAUAGCCUAUAUAGCAAAAUGUGUUUAAGAAUAUUUUUAUAAUAGCCGGUGUAAGUACUUGCAUUUAGUACACACUGAUAUACAUAAAUAUUAUAGAAUAUUGGGUUGGCAACUAAGUGAUUGCGGAUUUUGUCAUUAGGCGGUAUUGACAAAUCCCGCAAUCACUUAGUUGCCAGCUCAAUAUAUUUGUAGAAAUUACUGUUUUCCAGUGAAUGGUUUUUACUUGGGGCAGUAAACAUUAAAAAAUAUUUGAACUGAAAUUAUAUUGAUUUGCAGCUUGUCCAGAACAAUUUAAGCACGAAGCGUUUUACAGUUGAAUUUCGAAAUUUUUUAUCGCAAUAUUCUCGGCACAGUAACGAGGUUCAUUGGUGAAAAAUCAAUUUAAUAUCCCCGGCUAUAUGUGUGUUUGUACAUUGAAAAAGUUGUUACGAUUCUUUCAUAGGAAUUUUACGACCCAUUAAAAUCGUAUAACUUUCCGGCAACUACUUAAAAAGCUACCACUUAUUCGUAAAUAUUGCUGUUAUUUUUAGAGGCAAUCAAAUCUUCGCAAAAACACAGACAAAAAUAUUGCCUAAUUAAAAUUAGAAUUUAUUUUAAUCCCCAAUUUAUAUCCAUGUUAUCCCGUUUUUCGAACGAGAAAAAAAGAAAAAAGAAGAAAAA